UUGGAUCUGUGAAGAGCAUUCGAAACAAUUUAUAGAAGUAUUUUUUGAAAAAUCAAAGCCAUUGGUAUUACAGAACCUGUAAUAAACUGGUUUGAAGACGAUUUAAGUUGCCAAAGCCAGGUAACAAAAAUUGUAAGUGAUCUUUCGGAUAAAGUAACUACUAAAUUUGGUGUACCCCAGGGAAAUGAAUUUGGACUUUAAACUUUAAUCUAUAUCAGUGUGGACCAUAGAUGUGACUAUCAAUUCAUUUGUUGACAAUACAUUGUUAUUUCUCUUCUUACAAAUUGAAAUUAAACGUUGCAAAAUCCCCAAUCGAUGAUUUCAAUGACACAAUACGAAUAUAAACAGUUUGAUAUUCUCAUUCGCUUUAUAUUGGCAAUGAAAUGAUUAAAUUUGUUAAAGGAGAGUUAUGUUGGAUAGCGAUAUGUCUUUUAAUGCACACUAAAGCUACGUCACUAAGAAAAUAUCAAAGAAAUUUUAUUUCUUUACAAGAAUCUCAAAAUAAGAUUUCUUCUUAAAAAAUCAUUCAUUCAUUCACAUUUUUUGAAAUAUUGAUUUUUCGGAAGACUCAAGACCGAAUUAAUAAAGGGUUCUUGUCUUUUCCAGGAUUUCCAUUACAGCAGAUUACUGAAAUGGAAUACUAAACAAUAUCUGAGGGUAAAAGAAAAAAUUUCGAUCCCAACUAUGUAUCUGAAGACAGUAACAAGUUCACAGGAGAAUGUUUUGAACAUUUUGUAAAAACAAAAACUCUGAUGAAUGUGCAUACCGAAGAAAAGCUAUUUAGCGAAAGUUCAGAAGAAAGACCAUUCAAUUCUAAAAUAUAUUCAGAUUCCUUCAAUACUGAGAAAUUGAAAACAUCGGAAGAAUACUUCAGAUGAGGAUGAUUUUAAUAAUGAAAAUGACAAGGAUAACUGAUUGGUAUCUCACAAGAGAUUUCAUACACAAGAAAAACCUUUCACUUGUAACAUCUGUUCCCAAUCUUUUAGACUGUUAGCAAAUCACAUCAAAACAUUCAUUCUAGAGAAAAACGGUUUGUCUGUAAAUUAUCUUCAAAAUCAUAUGUUGAUGAAGAGUAUUUGAAACAUCAUGAGAGAAAAAUCAUUUUCAUGUGCAUUUUGCCCCAAAUCUGUGUUGGAGAAUUUGAAAUUGCAUGAGAAGUUUCAUUCAAGAAAACAAAAACAUUCUUAUGAGAAGAACUUGAAAGCUCAUCAGAAGACUUUGUCGCCAAAUCAAUGUGAAGCAGUAGUUGUAGAUAGUACAUAUGAUUUUAAUAUCAGCGAAGAUGUGAAGGAUGACUUGAGAAGUCAUGAAUAAAAUAUAAAAGAUGAGUUCACUCCCAAUGAUGUAGGAUAUGAGGAUAUUAUACUGAAUGCUAAACCAUA